UUGGAAGUAAAAAGUCGUAACAAGGUUUCCGUAGGUGAACCUGCGGAAGGAUCAUUACCGAGUGCGGGCUGCCUCCGGGCGCCCAACCUCCCACCCGUGACUACCUAACACUGUUGCUUCGGCGGGGAGCCCCCCAGGGGCGAGCCGCCGGGGACCACUGAACUUCAUGCCUGAGAGUGAUGCAGUCUGAGCCUGAAUACAAAUCAGUCAAAACUUUCAACAAUGGAUCUCUUGGUUCCGGCAUCGAUGAAGAACGCAGCGAACUGCGAUAAGUAAUGUGAAUUGCAGAAUUCAGUGAAUCAUCGAGUCUUUGAACGCACAUUGCGCCCCCUGGCAUUCCGGGGGGCAUGCCUGUCCGAGCGUCAUUGCUGCCCUCAAGCCCGGCUUGUGUGUUGGGUCGUCGUCCCCCCCGGGGGACGGGCCCGAAAGGCAGCGGCGGCACCGUGUCCGGUCCUCGAGCGUAUGGGGCUUUGUCACCCGCUCGAUUAGGGCCGGCCGGGCGCCAGCCGGCGUCUCCAACCUUAUUUUUCUCAGGUUGACCUCGGAUCAGGUAGGGAUACCCGCUGAACUUAAGCAUAUCAAUAAGCCGGAGGA
rnacentral:misc_RNA from 1 species